GCCAACAUGUACUGUGACAUACUGAAGCAGAACAUGAUUCCCUACCAUUGGAGACUGGGCUGCAGAUAAUGACCCCAAACACACCUCCAAGACUACCACUGACGUGCUAAAGAAGCUGAAGGUAAAGGUGAUGGACUGGUCAAGCAUGUCUCCAGACCUAAACCCUAUUGAGCAUAUGUGGGGCAUCCUCAAAUGGAAGGUGGGAGAGUGCAAGGUCUCUAACAUCCACCAGCUCCGUGAUGUCGUCAUGGAGGAGUGGAAGAGGCAACCUGUGAAGCUCUGGGGGACUUCAUGCCCAUGGGGGUUAAAGCAGUGCUGAAAAAUAAUGGUGGCCACACAAAAUAUUGACACUUCGGGCCCAAUUUGCACAUUUCCACUUAGGGGUGUACUCACUUUUGUUGCCA